rnacentral:lncRNA from 1 species
UUCUUCACCUGAAUUUGCUACAACCUACAAUCCAGUGGCCCAAGAGAAGUUCCUCCCUGUCAGAAGAGCUAUGAACAUUUCUUCCUGAGGCAGAGAACCAGACAGUACGUGCCAAGAGGAGCAGCAUUGUUGGGGGUCCCUGAAGGCUGCUUAGAGGCUGGACUUCAAUACUAGGUUGGGUAAUACACAGACCCUGGCAGUAGAUUACAGACUGUCCUCGUUGUAAGAUGAUCACAUCUUCAGAUCCUUAAUGGCCUCUGUGGACACUAAAUAGGAUCAUGCUUGCAGGGCCUUCUUUGAGCAGUGGGAUCAAAUUCUUAUGUGUCUCUCUAGAGACAAUCAGCACUGGAUCAUCUGUAAACAGCAGUGGACACAAGAUCUGGG